GUGACAAGAAAUACCGAUGCGGGACCCUACGGGUGCCGCGUUCGGAAUGAGUACGAUUCGAACCACCUAAACGAGGAACGAUCGGAGGGCAAGUCUGGUGCCAGCAGCCGCGGUAAAUUCCAGCUCCAAUAGCGUACGUUAAAGUUGCUGCAGUUAAAAAGCUCGUAGUUGAAACGUUCGGGUUCCGCGGGACGGGGCCGCCCCGCGAGGGACGGCGCCGCCCCGGGGCUCGUGAUAUCUUAUCUCGCCGCCCGUCGCGAGGCGGACGGAGGGAUGGAUGAGGUUACCUGGAAAAAAUCGGGGCGAUCUAGGCGGGCGAACCUCGCCAACGAACGAUCGGACAUGGGAUAACGGAAGAGGGCGUCGGCUCGACUUCGUCGGUUCCUCGGGCCGAGGCACGUACGGUGAAUAGGGACGGUCGGGGCCGCCCGUACCGGGUCGUGAGAGGUGAAAUUCUAGGAUCGACCCGAGACGAACUGCCGCGAAAGCAUUCGGCAAGGACGCUUUCAUUAAUCAAGAACGAAAGUCGGGGGAUCGAAGACGAUCAGAUACCGUCGUAGU
rnacentral:rRNA from 1 species